rnacentral:rRNA from 1 species
AGAGCGAACGCUGGCGGCAGGCCUAAUACAUGCAAGUCGAACGGAUCCUUCGGGAUUAGUGGCGGACGGGUGAGUAACACGUGGGAACGUACCCUUUGGUUCGGAACAACUCAGGGAAACUUGAGCUAAUACCGAAUGUGCCCUUCGGGGAAAAGAUUUAUCGCCAUUGGAGCGGCCCGCGUCUGAUUAGCUAGUUGGUAGGGUAAAGGCCUACCAAGGCUACGAUCAGUAGCUGGUCUGAGAGGAUGAUCAGCCACACUGGGACUGAGACACGGCCCAGACUCCUACGGGAGGCAGCAGUAGGGAAUCUUGCGCAAUGGCGAAAGCCUGACGCAGCCAUGCCGCGUGAAUGAUGAAGGUCUUAGGAUUGUAAAAUUCUUUCAGCGGGGACGAUAAUGACGGUACCCGCAGAAGAAGCCCCGGCUAACUUCGCGCCAGCAGCCGC